rnacentral:rRNA from 1 species
CUGAGUAGUAUUUGUUAUGUUCUUGAAACUUAAAAAAUUUGGCGGUACCUUAGUCUAGUCAGAGGAACCUGUUCUGUAAUCGAUAGUCCACGAUGGACCUUUCUUCCCUUUGCUUACAGUUUAUAUACCGUCGUUAUCAGAAUAUUUUAAAAGAAUAAUAAUUUUCAAUAUAUAAUAUUUCAUAUCAUAUCAGAUCAAGGUGUAGCUUAUAGGGAAGUAGAAAUGGGUUACAAUAAAAUUAUUUAAACGGAUAUAAAAUGAAAAAUUUAUUGAAGGUGGAUUUGAUAGUAAAGUUAUAUAGAUAAAUAAUUUGAUAAUAGCUCUAAGGUAUGCACACAUCGCCCGUCACUCUUAUUACUAAGAUAAGAUAAGUCGUAACAUAGUAGAUGUACCGGAAGGUGUAUCUAGAAUGACAAUCUAAAUCUUAUAUAGUAAAGUAUUUCAUUUACAUUGAAAAGAUUUUUGUGCAAAUCAUUAUAGGUUGAUUAUGAUUUAUUUAUUGAUUAUUUUAUUUUUAGUUUAUUUUAUUAAAAAUAAUUAUAAAAUUUAUGUUUUAGUAUUGUAUAAAGAAAAAAUAUUAUAAAUGAUAGUUUACUUGUAUCGUGAGAGAUUAUUGAAAUAACUGAAAAA